UACGUAGGAGGCAAGCGUUGUCCGGAAUUACUGGGCGUAAAGCGCGUGUAGGUGGUGGGACAAGUCUGCUGUGAAAGCGCCUGGCUUAACCGGGCGAGGUCGGCGGAAACUGUCCGACUCGAGGACGGUAGAGGGGGGUGGAAUUCCCGGUGUAGUGGUGAAAUGCGUAGAGAUCGGGAGGAACACCUGUGGCGAAGGCGGCCCCCUGGGCCGGUCCUGACACUGAGACGCGAAGGCGUGGGGAGCGAACGGG
rnacentral:rRNA from 1 species